ACGACGCUGGCGCGUGCCUAAUACAUGCAAGUCGAGCGAAGUUUUUCUGUGUUUGCACUAGAAAACUUAGCGGCGAACGGGUGAGUAACACGUAAAGAACCUGCUCAUAGACUGGGACAACUAUUGGAAACGAUAGCUAAUACCAGAUAACAGCAUUAACUGCAUGGUUGAUGUUUAAAAGUUGGUUAUGCUAACACUAUGAGAUGGCUUUGCGGUGCAUUAGCUAGUUGGUGGGGUAAAGGCCCACCAAGGCGACGAUGCAUAGCCGACCUGAGAGGGUGAUCGGCCACACUGGGACUGAGACACGGCCCAGACUCCUACGGGAGGCAGCAGUAGGGAAUCUUCCGCAAUGGGCGAAAGCCUGACGGAGCAACGCCGCGUGAGUGAAGAAGGAUUUCGGUUCGUAAAGCUCUGUUGUUAGGGAAGAAUGGAUAUGUAGUAACUAUACAUGUACGAGACGGUACCUAACCAGAAGGCCACGGCUAACUACGUG
rnacentral:rRNA from 1 species